AUUAAUUAUAAAUUAUAAAUUUAAACAUGCAUUGUGAAAUAUUUAGCAAAAUAUAGAAAAACAUCCUAAAUCCCACAAACCUGUAAAAUAUCAUGUGGGAUGUGGUCCAAUAACUGUUGGAAAGCCACAAAUGGGCAUCUCAACUAGACUAGAUGUUACUAGCCGUGUGUUAAUGCUAUAUGGAUAUUAAAUUAGCCAAAAUAUUAAACUGCUAGCAAAUGUUUUCACUUUCUACAUUUUAGCAGAGACCUGUUGUAAAGAUUCCUUCAUAUUACUUCAAAUAAAGGAAACUACAUUAUUCCUUACAGUUGGAUUAGGACCCAGUAGGGGAAUUGGCAGAAUAUAAAUUAUAAACCUCACUCCCAUAUGUGUUCUAUAGGAGUAGGUAUGGUUCUGUACAGCUUGUUAGGGCUUAGUGCUGACUCCAUCUGGUAGAUUGUCUUGUAUAGAGUCAUGUCAUAUUGGGUGGUCCCAUAACAUCAGAGUGUCUAUUGUGCUGCCUCAAUAUUUGAGCACAACUGUUCUAAGUCCUUAUUGCAGAUAAAACCACAGGAAAUGCACAAUACUAAAUGUCAAGAACAAACAAAACAAAAAACUAUACAUGACUUGACCUAUGGCUUAAUAGGAGGUGAAUCAGCAAUGAGCGCUGCUGCUUAAGUCAUAAUGCUAUGCUUGUGAACAGAGAUGGCCUCAGAUCUUCGGGGUCCCGGUGUGAAAUGUAGAUGUGA